rnacentral:tRNA from 1 species
GGAAAUGUAGCUCAGUGGUAGAGUACCUGCAUGCAGGAGAUCCUGGGUUUGAUCUCCAGUAUAAUAA